AAGCAGUGGUGUGGUUUACUUUAUUCUUACUAGCGAUAGGAGGGAUCUAUCUUGCUGUUACCCAAUCAUGGUGCUAAUCCUCAAUUGCUUGC
rnacentral:tRNA from 1 species